GAGACUCUGUGCCGAGCCCUUCCUUGUCAUCACUGCAUUUGAAAAUAUUUACUUGGCACCUCUCCAGGCUACAUAAGGUCUGUGCUCUUAAUUAGACCCUCGAAAGACUAAUCUCCAGAUCUGU